AGAGUUUGAUCCUGGCUCAGGAUGAACGCUGGCGGCGUGCCUAACACAUGCAAGUCGAGCGAGGGUUUGCUCAGUAUUGAGUAUUCUAAGACUAGAAUGUUCAAUUCUGAGCAAAACCAAGCGGCGGACGGGUGAGUAACGCGUGGGUAACCUGCCCUAUACACAUGGAUAACAUACUGAAAAGUUUACUAAUACAUGAUAAUAUAUAUUUGCGGCAUCGCAGAUAUAUCAAAGUGUUAGCGGUAUAGGAUGGACCCGCGUCUGAUUAGCUAGUUGGUGAGAUAACUGCCCACCAAGGCGACGAUCAGUAGCCGACCUGAGAGGGUGAUCGGCCACAUUGGAACUGAGACACGGUCCAAACUCCUACGGGAGGCAGCAGUGGGGAAUAUUGCACAAUGGGCGAAAGCCUGAUGCAGCAACGCCGCGUGAACGAUGAAGGUCUUCGGAUCGUAAAGUUCUGUUGCAGGGGAAGAUAAUGACGGUACCCUGUGAGGAAGCCCCGGCUAACUACGUGCCAGCAGCCGCGGU
rnacentral:rRNA from 1 species